GCCUAAGGCCAUUCUACACUGAAGGAGCCCAAGCUCUUCUGAUCUUGAAAGUGAAGCAGGUGGGCCUCUUUCCUACUUGGCUGGGCAUCCCCGGGUGACUGCUGGGGCAGCCCUGGUGA
rnacentral:rRNA from 1 species